rnacentral:lncRNA from 1 species
GAUGAUUUUAGACACUGCAAUGAGAAGCAAGAGCUCAUUUGAUUUCAGUAAGGUCCCAGCUGACUUCACGCAAGACCAGACUUUGCCCUUCCUCCUCUCAGCCUACUCAACGUGAAUAUAAUGAGGAUGAAGACCUUUGUAAUGACCUUUUCCCACAUAAUGAAUAGCCAUUGGGAGACACACUUCUGAACACCACCACUGGAAAAUCACACAUGCUGAAAUGGGAGAGUUCCCUGACCCCCUUGCAGGAUAUGUGACAGGAGUGUGGCUCAUCUGUUCAGCUGGAGUGCAUACUCAAACCCCUUAUGAGACAAGGAGUAUGCAGACAGAAGGUGCAGGAACUGGGAAGCAAAAUAUAAACUAGUUAAUUUGAUCUCCAAGAGUUAAGCGGUUUUAAUAUUACUGACAGUAAUAUCAGCAGUGGUGUUGGAACCCCAUGAUCUCAUGAAUCAUAGAUAGCAACUGCUUACUGGACAUUGAAGCUUUAUGGCCAGCUGCCAAAAAAAUAAAUGCACCUUAAUUUUUAAAUUGAAUUAUAAAGCCAAAAAUAUCCUAUUGCUCUAUUCCUCUUAUUUUGGUGUUUACAUGUGACUUUAUAAUUUCCUUCACUUGAAAGAUUUUAACUUUAAAGGAAACUUUACUCUGAACGUUUAGGACAAUUCAUAGAUAAUCAAAUUGAUUAUCAUGUUUUCAAUGUUAAAUAUUACUUCAUAUGUCUUUUUACAACCUUCAGAAUAAGAAAGCCAGCUAUGAAAUACCAAGUCUUGACUAGUAGUGCCACCUAGCAUCACAAAGAAAAAGUUGUUCAACUACUUUGCAAAGCAUUGGAAAUUUAUCAAAUCAUCUAAUAUACUAUCUCCUUGAUCCUUAAUCCAGAGGAAAAUAAGCAGACAUGAUCAAUUAGAAGAAAUGUACACAAAACCUAUGUAAUUUUAGAGAUAGUAUACUACAUAUUAUGAAUGUUUGUGUUUUAGUAAGAUGUAGUUAUGAGAUGUAGCAGUAAGAUAUAAUUUCUGGUUUGCUGACUGAUAUGCUACCGGUUUUUCCUACAAUUUAAGAAAACAUAUUGGGAUUCAAAUGAAUAAAAAUAAUGUUUGUGUACUGAAA